UACAGAGGUCUCAAGCGUUGUUCGGAUUCAUUGGGCGUAAAGGGUGCGCAAGCGGCGUGGUAAGUCGGAUGUGAAAUCUCGGAGCUUAACUCCGAAACUGCAUUCGAUACUGCCGUGCUUGAGGACUGGAGAGGAGACUGGAAUUCCUGGUGUAGCGGUGAAAUGCGCAGAUAUCAGGAGGAACACCAGUGGCGAAGGCGGCUCACUGGCCCGAUACUGACGCUGAGGCACGAAAGCGUGGGGAGCAAACAGG
rnacentral:rRNA from 1 species